AGAAGUAAGUCUAAGUCAAGGAGCAACUGCCUGCCUGUGUGUGUGUGUGUGUGUAUGUGUGCAUGUGUAAAUAAUAUAUAAUCAUAUUCAAUCAUACAUAUAUAUAUAUACAUAUGUAUAUAUAUAUAUGUAUGAUUGAAUAUGAUUAUAUAUUAUUUACACAUGCACACAUACACACACACACACACACAGGCAGGCAGUUGCUCCUUGACUUAGACUUACUUCUCA
rnacentral:miRNA from 1 species